rnacentral:rRNA from 1 species
UAAGCCAUGCAUGUCUAAGUAUAAGCAAUUAUACAGCGAAACUGCGAAUGGCUCAUUAUAUAAGUUAUCGUUUAUUUGAUAGUACCUUACUACUUGGAUAACCGUGGUAAUUCUAGAGCUAAUACAUGCUGAAAAUCCCGACUUCGGAAGGGAGGUAUUUAUUAGAUUAAAAACCAAUGCCCUCUGGGCUCCUUGGUGAUUCAUAAUAACUUUUCGAAUCGCACGGCCUUGCGCCGGCGAUGGUUCAUUCAAAUUUCUUCCCUAUCAACUUUCGAUGUUUGGGUAUUGGCCAAACAUGGUCGCAACGGGUAACGGAGGGUUAGGGCUCGACCCCGGAGAAGGAGCCUGAGAAACGGCUACUACAUCCAAGGAAGGCAGCAGGCGCGCAAAUUACCCAAUCCCGAUUCGGGGAGGUAGUGACAAUAAAUACUGAUACAGGGCUCUUUUGGGUCUUGUAAUUGGAAUGAGUACAAUUUAAAUCUCUUAACGAAGAACAAUUGGAGGGCAA